rnacentral:rRNA from 1 species
UUAUUAAAAACAUGGCUUGUUGAUUAUAAUUUCAGGUCUGGCCUGCCCAAUGAUUAAUUAAAUGGCUGCGGUAUAUUGACCGUGCAAAGGUAGCAUAAUCAUUAGUUUUUUAAUUGAAAGCUUGAAUGAAAGGUUUGAUGAGAAAGUAACUGUCUCUAGAAAAAUUUAUUGGAAUUUUAUUUUUAAGUGAGAAAGCUUAAAUAUAUAUAGAAGACGAGAAGACCCUAUAGAGUUUUAUAGGUGGAUAUAAACUUAAUUUUAAAGAUGCUUAGAUUUAGGUUUAUUUUGUAUCUAUUUUGUUGGGGUGAUAGGAAAAUUUACUAAACUUUUCUUUAAUUUUAAUAUUAAUUUAUAAAUAUAUGAUCCUUGGUUUAGAUUAAAAGAAAAAAUUACCUUAGGGAUAACAGCGUAAUCUUUUCUAGAGUUCUUAUCGAAAAAAUGGGUUGCGACCUCGAUGUUGGAUUAAAAUUUACUUUUGGUGUAGGUGCUAAAAAGUUAGGUCUGUUCGACCUUUAAAAUUUUACAUGAUCUGAGUUUAGACCGGCGUGAGCCAGGUCGGUUUCUAU